rnacentral:lncRNA from 1 species
AUCUUUUCAGCUUCACAUGUCUUUUCUUCCGCCUUCAAUCUCCAUAUUAUUCAUUUUCAUUUAUGCAGUCAAAAAUAAAUAAAUUAUAUAGAUAAAUAUUGGAUUAAACUAUCCAAUCAUAUAUAACUAAAAUUAAAAUUUUAUAUGAAUAAUAAUUUUUUACUUUAAAAAUAUUCUGUAUAUUUUCUCAAGUAUACAAUUAAUAGCAAGGUAGGCAACGGCGGGCAUAUGCUGUUACUUGGUAACUUGGAGGGCUUCCGGCUUGGCCACUUAGGGUGAGAGACAGAAAAAGAGA